AGAGUUUGAUCAUGGCUCAGGAUGAACGCUAGCGGCAGGCCUAAUACAUGCAAGCCGAACGGCAAGAGAUGUAGCAAUACAUUUCCUAGAGUGGCGCAAGGGUGCGUAACACGUAUGCAAUCUGCCCUGUACAGGAGAAUAGCUCGGGGAAACCCGAAUUAAUACUCCGUAAUAAAUUGGUGGGGCAUCUCACUAAUUUUAAAACUGAGGUGGUACAGGAUGAGCAUGCGUCUGAUUAGCUAGUUGGUAGUGUAACGGACUACCAAGGCGAUGAUCAGUAGGGGAACUGAGAGGUUGAUCCCCCACACUGGCACUGAGAUACGGGCCAGACUCCUACGGGAGGCAGCAGUAGGGAAUAUUGGUCAAUGGGUGCGAGCCUGAACCAGCCAUGCCGCGUGCAGGAAGAAGGCCUUCUGGGUUGUAAACUGCUUUUACCAGGGGAUAAAACGACCUUGCGAGGUUAAUUGAAGGUACCUGGUGAAUAAGCCACGGCUAACUACGUGCCAGCAGCCGCGGUAAUACGUAGGUGGCAAGCGUUGUCCGGAUUUAUUGGGUUUAAAGGGUGCGUAGGUGGUCUAUUAAGUCAGUGCUGAAAUAUCCCGGCUUAACCGGGAGGGUGGCAUUGAUACUGAUGGACUUGAGUAAAGUUGAGGUGGGCGGAAUUGACGGUGUAGCGGUGAAAUGCUUAGAUAUCGUCAAGAACACCUAUUGCGAAGGCAGCUCACUAAGCUUUAACUGACACUGAGGCACGAAAGUGUGGGGAUCAAACAGGAUUAGAUACCCUAGUAGUCC
rnacentral:rRNA from 1 species